rnacentral:sRNA from 1 species
GUCUGUCUCAGUUAUCUCUUGCUGCACAGCACACCACCCCAAAACCCAGUGGCAUAAGUCAUCACCAUGGACUUUCCCCAGCACAGCCAGCACGUCUUGGAACAGCUGAACCAGCAGCGGCAGCUGGGGCUUCUCUGUGACUGCACCUUUGUGGUGGACGGUGUUCACUUUAAGGCUCAUAAAGCAGUGCUGGCGGCCUGCAGCGAGUACUUCAAGAUGCUCUUCGUGGACCAGAAGGACGUGGUGCACCUGGACAUCAGUAACGCGGCAGGCCUGGGGCAGGUGCUGGAGUUUAUGUACACGGCCAAGCUGAGCCUGAGCCCUGAGAACGUGGAUGAUGUGCUGGCCGUGGCCACUUUCCUCCAAAUGCAGGACAUCAUCACGGCCUGCCAUGCCCUCAAGUCACUUGCUGAGCCGGCUACCAGCCCUGGGGGAAAUGCGGAGGCCUUGGCCACAGAAGGAGGGGACAAGAGAGCCAAAGAGGAGAAGGCGGCCACCAGCACACUAAGCAGGCUGGAGCAGGCGGGACGCAGUGCACCCACAGGCCCCAGCAGGGACCUCAAGGAGGAGCGCGGCGGUCAGGCCCAGAGUGCGGCCAGCGGUGAGUCAGAUGCCGAGGACCCAGCCGGCUGCCCUGUCACCUCCCAGCAGCCUGGGCACAGGGUAGUGAGGGCUGCCUUGGGGCAGGUAGCACGGGCACCUGCACCUCUUGAGCCUGUGUUACCCAGAAUGACCUAUUGUGUGUUCCAGGGGGUCUGUUUCAACCAGAGCAGACACAACAGCCUCAGCUAGGGGUGUGCUGGGGCCUCCCCUCCUGGGUCA